AUGAAGCCCAGCUUGCUGGGUGGAUUAGUGGCGAACGGGUGAGUAACACGUGAGUAACCUGCCCUUAACUCUGGGAUAAGCCUGGGAAACUGGGUCUAAUACCGGAUAGGAGCGUCCACCGCAUGGUGGGUGUUGGAAAGAUUUAUCGGUUUUGGAUGGACUCGCGGCCUAUCAGCUUGUUGGUGAGGUAAUGGCUCACCAAGGCGACGACGGGUAGCCGGCCUGAGAGGGUGACCGGCCACACUGGGACUGAGACACGGCCCAGACUCCUACGGGAGGCAGCAGUGGGGAAUAUUGCACAAUGGGCGCAAGCCUGAUGCAGCGACGCCGCGUGAGGGAUGACGGCCUUCGGGUUGUAAACCUCUUUCAGUAGGGAAGAAGCGAAAGUGACGGUACCUG
rnacentral:rRNA from 1 species